UGCCCGCUAGACAUGUACACUUAACAAUCAUUCCAUACAACAAAUACAGUAGACCUAUUGCAUAUGGUAUGAGAAAAACAGACCAAAACACAAAAAUUUAACUAUAACCACUGAACCAUGAAAAUGAGGUCAAGGUCAGAUGACACCUGCCAGUUGGACAUGUACACCUUACAGUCCUUCCAUACACCGAAUAUACUAGCCCUAUUGCUUAUAGUAUCUGAGAUAUGGACUUGACCACCACAACUUAACCUUGUUCACUGAUCCAUGAAAUGAGGUUGAGGUCAAGUGAAAACUGUCUGACAGACACGAGGACCUUGCAAGGUACGCACAUAUCAAAUAUAGUUAUCCUAUUACUUAUAAUAAGAGAGAAUUCAAC
rnacentral:lncRNA from 1 species